GNGUGAGUAACGCGUGGAUAACCUGCCUUGUACAGGGGGAUAACACCUGGAAACAGGUGCUAAGACCGCAUAAGCGCACAGUCUCGCAUGGGACAGUGUGAAAAACUCCGGUGGUACAAGAUGGAUCCGCGUCUGAUUAGCCAGUUGGCGGGGUAACGGCCCACCAAAGCGACGAUCAGUAGCCGGCCUGAGAGGGUGAACGGCCACAUUGGGACUGAGACACGGCCCAAACUCCUACGGGAGGCAGCAGUGGGGAAUAUUGCACAAUGGGGGAAACCCUGAUGCAGCAACGCCGCGUGAGUGAAGAAGUAAUUCGUUAUAUAAAGCUCUAUCAGCAGGGAAGAAAAUGACGGUACCUGAGUAAGCAGCCCCGGCUAACUACGUGCCAGCAGCCGCGGUAAUACGUAGGGGGCAAGCGUUAUCCGGAUUUACUGGGUGUAAAGGGAGCGUAGACGGUAAAGCAAGUCUGAAGUGAAAUGCCAGUGCUCAACACUGGGACUGCUUUGGAAACUGUUUGGCUGGAGUGCAGGAGAGGUAAGUGGAAUUCCUAGUGUAGCGGUGAAAUGCGUAGAUAUUAGGAGGAACACCAGUGGCGAAGGCGGCUUACUGGACUGUAACUGACGUUGAGGCUCGAAAGCGUGGGGAGCAAACAGGAUUAGAUACCCUGGUAGUCCACGCGGUAAACGAU
rnacentral:rRNA from 1 species